UAGAAAAUGGUGUAUUGGGAGCACCAAGAGUUUUGAUCUCUUAAGGAUGGGUUCAAGCCCCUUUUUUCUAA
rnacentral:tRNA from 1 species